ensembl:lincRNA Xist inactive X specific transcripts
CUUCAUAGCCCCUUCCCAAUAGGUCCAGAAUGUCACCCGUGGAGCCGUUCCUCACACCAGACUGCCCUGAGAAAUAAUCUAAGACAAAAUACAUCAUUCCGUCCGGUCAGGAUUCAAGUGGCUCUGAAGUGAACGCCCAAGUAGAAGACAGAAGUUUUGCGACUUGAGAUUUAAAAGGACCAAAAUACACAGAUGGCCCGUCUUGAGCUGGCUGGACAGAAUGCUGACAACCCAAAGAAGAGGAACUGUUUCUACAGGACACCUGUGACUUCCAAGAGCGGGGAACUACUUACUGCCAUCAAUAUUGCUACCAAUUAAGCACAUCCUACCAUCAUCUGCUUUGAUCACAUAAAUGAACUGUGUACCAAUCUGUUGUUGAAAGACUGGAGUCAUCUUCCCACCAACUGUGAAAAAACACAUGGAAAACACCUGGACUUUGUGAACGGAUGCGGAAUACAGAACUUCUGUUGACUCUUGGGUGUUUUGAAGACUUGAAAAAAAAAACUGUUGCUUACCAACAUGUCACAAUGAGUCCGUGUGUGGGUGGGUGGAUGGGUGGGUGGGUNNNNNNNNNNNNNNNNNNNNUGGGUGGGGUAGUUUGCUGUUAAAUAAAAUGCUUUGUUUUG